GUUGAUGAAGCAGCCCCUCUAGCGUGGCACUGGGACACACUCUGCAGUUCUUAAGGGGGUGGCCUUCCUCCUCCUCCUCCUCCACCACCACCCAUCUAUUCCUGUAGUGCUGGAAUGAACAGUCUUAGCUGCUUUCCCUAAGCCCUGGUGGCCUCAGCACUGGGUCACCUGUACCUCCUUUACGGGGUUCCUUUAGGCACAUGUGAGGCCAAACCUGAGGCUGGCUGCUGGUGACGGGACAAGGAAACCCAGGACAGUUGACUUCUUUCUGAGCCUGUCAUUUCAUAGGUGGUGGCUGUGUGUUCACGGCAGCCUUGGAUCAAAAAGCAGUGAUGCUGGUGGGGGAGUGUGUUGUAAAGAAAGCAGCAGCAACAGCGGGAAGGUGGCGUGGAGAGGUUUCUUGAGCUAGAGGAGGCCUCAGCCGAGAGCAGCUGCAGGGGCAGCCCACAGUGCUGCCAAGGGCCAGGGCCUGGGGACUUGGAGUUCAAUCUGGGUUUUGUGCCUGAGAAGGGCCUGCGGUGAGGUGGGAGGGGAGCAGGACCUGUCUGGGAGGCUGCAGCUGAGGUCAGGCACAGAAUGGUGGCCAGGGAGAGGGUACAGGGUGGGCCGAGCAGUGGUCCAGAUCAGGUUUUGGGAGGUGUGGGAGGAGAGCCCACCUCUUGGCCUGUGCAGCUCGCGCCACUCCUGCUGAGCCAGAGGGAGAGGGUUCGUGCUGGUGCUGGGCACGCCUCUUCCCCUGGGAGGACCAGAGCGGGCACUGGGUGCUGGUCUAGCCCUUGGCUGGGUAGGAUGGGCUGCCCAAGAAGAUCGGAGAUCGAGCAGCGUGGCGAGGAUGCAGCCACCAGACCCC
rnacentral:lncRNA from 1 species